GACCUCGAAUCAGGUAGGACUACCCGCUGAACUUAAGCAUAUCA
rnacentral:rRNA from 1 species